rnacentral:rRNA from 1 species
ACGCACGCUGGCGGCGUGCUUCACACAUGCAAGUCGAACGGAAAGGCCCUGCUUUUGUGGGGUGCUCGAGUGGCGAACGGGUGAGUAACACGUGAGUAACCUGCCCUUGACUUUGGGAUAACUUCGGGAAACUGGGGCUAAUACCGGAUAGGAGCUCCUGCUGCAUGGUGGGGGUUGGAAAGUUUCGGCGGUUGGGGAUGGACUCGCGGCUUAUCAGCUUGUUGGUGGGGUAGUGGCUUACCAAGGCUUUGACGGGUAGCCGGCCUGAGAGGGUGACCGGCCACAUUGGGACUGAGAUACGGCCCAGACUCCUACGGGAGGCAGCAGUGGGGAAUAUUGCACAAUGGGCGGAAGCCUGAUGCAGCAACGCCGCGUGCGGGAUGACGGCCUUCGGGUUGUAAACCGCUUUCGCCUGUGACGAAGCGUGAGUGACGGUAAUGGGUAAAGAAGCACCGGCUAACUACGUG